UCCCCUCACCCACCACCCCUCUACUUAAAUGGAUUCGUCCGCAUGGAGCGCCCUGCAGGGAGGGAGAUGGAGGCGGCGUUUGCGCGGCAUCACCGCUCGCGCCGUCUAAAGCUAAAAUAAUAAUACAAAUAACGCCGAAUACAAUCUUACAUUAAUUAGCUCCAACGGUGAGAAUUCAAUACGACGUGAAUUAUAAAAAAUAUAGCCAGUAUUUAAACAUUGUAUAAAACGGUCACUAGUGUAUCAAUUGGCCUCAUGUAGUGUAAAUAUAUCGUGGUAUACAUUUUAUCUUCGUAUAUCGGUUCCCUUCAAUGGCUGGGCUGCACUGGCUGAGGACCUGUUCGUCAUUCUGCUCCGCCCUCGGUGGAUGCAGGCAAUGAAGGCUCCACCCAGUGCUGAACCACGGCCGUUGGUGGGGGGGGGGCCCUGGGAGAUCAAGAAAAAGAGGGGGGGGGGCAUUAGUGGCCUCAAGGAGGAGGCGUGGCGAAGAGAGGUGACAAGCACGAGAGUCGAGGGAAGUCCGGGUUCAUCAUGGACGGCAUCUUCUCUCCUCCUUCCGUUACGAGGCCACCUGGACCCCAUCACAAUGCGUCUUCAAUUUUCACCUCCGCCCCUGGGGCGUCACGCUUUGCUCACGAGGGCCUCAUGCCUGCGACCCCUCGUAACCUCGCUCCCAUCAUGCACCGCGGGAAAACACCCACAAUGCACCACUGUGCACCCAAAGGAUCUACUCCCAGCACGCGCCAAACGGCGAGUAACGCUCCCACAAUGCAGCGUGGCGGUGUUACCACAAUGCAGCGGGGCAGAGCUCCCGCUAGCAUAAAGACGGCAGCAACCACCAGCAUGCAGCGCGCGGGUACCUACGGCUUGCUCAGCACCGCCAACGGUGCUUCCGGGUCACGGCUGGGCAAAGGUGACGGCAAUAAUGGACGGUACGUUGACGCCCACGACCCUGGUUACAGCAGUGGGAUUGACCAAGGGGUCUGUACAUGUUUAGUGAAUUACUCGGAGACACUAACAGUAGGAGGCACUAUAUUUAAUAUAUAGCCUUCACAGGUACGAGAGGUAACUACUAUACUAUGGUCAGGACAGCUAACUGGCUGCCUGACCAACAACGCCGAUGAGGUGAAGACGUUGACGAGGACUCCAGCAGCACGACGGUUCCACUCCACAACAACAGCCCUGAACCCUCGCUCGGGGUUUUUCCUUUAUACACCCAGCGUGGCCUCGCUCUGCCUUCGGCCACGCCUUCCUUCUAGAACCCACGAGAAGGUUCCCGGGCUUUACCACACGUACCCCCUCUAUCCCCCCCCUGCCUCACAUCCCUCUCUCUGGCUCAUCACAUCCUGCUGGCAGACAGGGUGACUACACCUCCGACCCCCUUCUGUGCCAGUAACCAGCGCUAUGCGCCACAGUGACACAUUCCAUGUCACUACACAUGUGUAAUGAGAGAGCACACCGACAUACGGAGGGCUGCAUAGGCAUUUCCGCAUCGGUCAUAACCAAGCAGGGCUACGGGUUCGAUCUGGGCCAAAGUUCAUGGGCGGAGCUGAGGGGUACAUGCGGGAACCACCUAAAAGGUUCUGAAGGGGGCGUGGUUAGAGGCGGGGCUUUGCGCCGCCAAGGAGGAUAUAAGGAGAGGCAGGAGGAGGACUCUGGGUUCGGUGUGGAAGCCUGGGUCCGGACUGCAUCCCCGUCAUCUCGUCCGCCACCGACCACAUGGCAGCCGCGGCGAAGCUCUCCCGAUUCCCAGCGCGCCGUCGACCAGCGGUGCGCUGGGAAGCGAGAGCGAGGGAAGCCGCGCGAGGAAGGGAGGAGGAGCAGAGAGCACGUGCAUGCGGCGAGAGAGAGGGUGACCAUCUAAAGAGAGUGCGGAGCCGAGCAGUCAUAACUAAUAAAGAAGGACGCAAGUCUCAAACGUGUCGUGGAAGUCGUUUAUUACACAUGUACACGUGCGAAACAGCUGUAGGCUGAAGUUUGGGGUAAAUAACUCUUCCCAAGCGGAGGGGGGCGGAGCUUACGGUUUCUCUAUUUGUUGCACUCGUAUCAUUCGUUAAUGUAACUUGCUGACCUGCCCCUACUGGACAUCUGUGAAAAAGAGCUUCAUAGCUCAUCGAAUUCCUCCAAAGAUAACAUCUCGCCUGUUAUAUACACGUGUGUAGUACUGUUCCUUGGCUGUAUUGCUUUGUUAUGCUGUUGGGGCAAGUGAUGAAGGCAGGCACGGCACAAGAGAGGAUUGGAGGCCAAUGCCGUGCCCGGCUGCCUUCGUCUCCCCUGUGGUGAUGUUUAACCACCGCACCAGGUACUCAUUUGAGGCCGAGUCGACCUAGCGGGAAACCCAGGACCAGUUCAGAUAAUUGUCACUGGUGUUGGCCGUGAGCGGGAAUCGAACUCUGGUCACCGGGUUCGUAGCGCAACGCGGUAACCGCUACACUACCGCUCCCCACGCGCGUGCACUCGCCCGCCUGGUGCCUCUCCUGCACGCGUACACUGUCUCGCCUGUGUUGGGGCUGUAGCAAGUCGAGGGAGUGCGUAGCCGGGAGGAGAGGGGCGAUGUGGCGUGGGCUCCACAACUGACGCCACUGCAGCAGCGCGAGCGGACCAUCCGGGAGCUGCGCGCUUCGCUGCGGGACGCGCACGCACACCUGGACGACAGGAAUCAGCAGCUGCAACAGCUGAAGCAGCAGCUGUGUCUGCUGCAGGAGCGCGCGCAGGAGGUGACCCAGCACACGGAGGCCGAGCUCAUCCUGUCAGCGGCACGAGGCGAGCUGGCUCGACUCGGCAAGACCGUCCACACCUGCUGACAAGCCCCGAGCCACCGCUGGACAUCUCUUCCAUCAGCCGGGCCGCUCGCUGGCGGGCCUCUCACUCCAGCGAGCUCGUCCAGGAACGUCGCCGCCAAAUAUCUCCCUGCUGUCGCCACAGCUGCUGCUGCAGCAGCUGCGGCUGCCACCACUGUGGGUGCCGUCAUUGCUGUGGCACCCAUUUUCGUGACGCGACCGGUGGAAGUGGUGGGGAUGAAACCCGUGUGGAAGGAGGCGCGAUGCAGAGUCGUGCUGGAUAUCUUUGCCCCGGUGGGAUCUGCGGGGGCGAGCGCAAGUGUGGCGAUGGAUGUUCAGCAGGCAGUGAACGCCACCACACAAUGGGAGGAGAAGAGACCUGCCAUCGCUUUCAAGGAAAAGGGCGCGACCUUGUACUCCUGUGCGGCGACGAGUGUCACCGUCUCGACACUCGCGGAGGAGGUGUUGGAGUGUUCGAAGAGGUGGACCUUACAAGAUCUACCUUUAAACCGAUGGGCGGCUGUGGAGAAGAUGGAGUAAGUGGAAGCUGGCGACCGAGGGGGAAGAUUUCUGCCAAUGGCGCAAGGAACGGUGCGAUCGCCAAAGUUGGGUCGCUCUUGCUGGCACCUGUUGAUGUUAAGGUUCUUCUGGUGGCCAUGAUGGUGGCAGAUGGUGACGAGGAGUUAAAAUUUUCACAUGCAUGCUUAAGCGAAAACCUUGCCGAUGGAGAGAUUGGAGAAAUACAACCUCGAAAGCCCUAUUGAUUUACCCCUCUUGAAUCUUCACCCGCUUACCUGUCGCUCAUUCUGAAGAAGCCUGGCCAAUCUGACUGUUCCUAUAAGAACUAUGAUGAAGCUGAUUGAGGGGGCCGAGCGAUGGAGGCGCCUCUGCGAGUUGCGCGAAGUGGCAAAUGGAAGCGUGACCCGUCGCGUGAUCAAAACAAGCGUUGUGGCUGGUUCGGGAGGCAUACACGUUGCCGUUAAGAUCCCUGCAGGAGACACGGCCCGUCGGACGCCCCUCGGUUGCAUGCGGACAGGCGACGUCCAUCAGCCACGGCCCGCUCGACGCGAUGCACGCGAAGGAUAUUGGCCACAUUGAGAUGGAUCGUGACAAUGGCGAGGGGAUGCGUUUGGCAUUGAAGGUGCACGAGGGAUGUUGAGGAAGCCAAUGGGGAUGACCGAGUUGGUGGUUGAAAGGUGCACGAGGGAUGUUGAGGAAGCCGAUGGGGAUGACCGAUUGGUGGUUGAGAGGACACACGAGGGAUGUUGAGGAAGCCGAUGGGGAUGACCGAUUGGUGGUUGAGAGACACACCGAGGAUGUUGAGGAAGCCGAUGGGGAUGACCGAUUGGUGGUUGAGAGACACAUGAGGGAUGUUGAGGAAGCCGAUGGGGAUGACCGAUUGGUGGUUGAGAGACGCACGAGGGAUGUUGAGGAAGCCGAUGGGGAUGACCGAUUGGUGGUUGAGAGACACACGAGGGAUGUUGAGGAAGCCGAUGGGAUGUCGAUUGGUGGUUGAGAGACACA